CCUACGGGAGGCACCAGUCGGGAAUUUUGCCCAAUGGACGAAAGUCUGAGGCAGCAACUCCGCGUGAGGGAUGAAGGCUCUCGGGUCGUGAACCUCUUCUCUCAGGGAAGAUCCAAGACGGUACCUGAGGAAUAAGCCACGGCUAACUACGUGCCAGCAGCCGCGGUAAUACGUAGGUGGCAAGCGUUGUCCGGAUUUACUGGGCGUAAAGAGCGCGCAGGCGGCUGGUCAAGUCCGAUGUGAAAUCUCCCGGCUCAACUGGGAAACUGCAUCGGAAACUGAUCAGCUUGAAGGUGGGAGAGGGUAGUGGAAUUCCCGGUGUAGUGGUGAAAUGCGUAGAUAUCGGGAGGAACACCAGUGGCGAAGGCGACUACCUGGCCCAUUCUUGACGCUGAGGCGCGAAAGCUAGGGGAGCGAACGGGAUUAGAUACCCCCGUAGUC
rnacentral:rRNA from 1 species